rnacentral:rRNA from 1 species
UACAGAGGUCUCAAGCGUUGUUCGGAUUCAUUGGGCGUAAAGGGUGCGUAGGCGGCGCGGUAAGUCGGGUGUGAAAUCUCGGAGCUUAACUUCGAAACUGCAUUCGAUACUGCCGUGCUUCGAGGACUGGAGAGGAGACUGGAAUUUACGGUGUAGCAGUGAAAUGCGUAGAGAUCGUAAGGAAGACCAGUGGCGAAGGCGGGUCUCUGGACAGUUCCUGACGCUGAGGCACGAAGGCCAGGGGAGCAAACGGG